GAUGAACGCUGGCGGCGUGCCUAAUACAUGCAAGUCGAGCGAACAGACGAGGAGCUUGCUCCUCUGACGUUAGCGGCGGACGGGCGAGUAACACGUGGAUAACCUACCUAUAAGACUUGGAUAACUUCGGGAAACCGGAGCUAAUACCGGAUAAUACGUUGAACCGCAGGGUUCAAUAGUGAUACACGCUUUUGCCGACUCAUUUAGCUGGAUCCGCGUCGCAUUAGCCAGUUGGUAAGGUAACGGCCUACCAAGGCAACGAUGCGUAGCUGAGCUGAGAGGGUGAUCGGCCACACUGGAACUGAGACACGGUCCAGACUCCUACGGGAGGCAGCAGUAGGGAAUCUUCCGCAAUGGGCGAAAGCCUGACGGAGCAACGCCGCGUGAGUGAUGAAGGUCUUCGGAUCGUAAAGCUCUGUUAUUAGGGAAGAACAAAUGUGUAAGUAACUAUGCACGUCUUGACGGUACCUAAUCAGAAAGCCCCGGCUAACUACGUG
rnacentral:rRNA from 1 species